rnacentral:rRNA from 1 species
GUGCACCAGGCGCGAAACCUCCGCAAUGCGGGAAACCGCGACGGGGACCCCGAGUGCCGUGGCAACGCCACGGCUUUUCCGGAGUGUAAAAGCUCCGGGAAUAAGGGCUGGGCAAGGCCGGUGGCAGCCGCCGCGGUAAUACCGGCGGCCCGAGUGGUGGCCGCUAUUAUUGGGCCUAAAGCGUCCGUAGCCGGGCCCGUAAGUCCCUGGCGAAAUCCCACGGCUCAACCGUGGGGCUUGCUGGGGAUACUGCGGGUCUUGGGACCGGGAGAGGCGGGGGGUACCCCUGGGGUAGGGGUGAAAUCCUAUAAUCCCAGGGGGACCGCCAGUGGCGAAGGCGCCCCGCUGGAACGGGUCCGACGGUGAGGGACGAAGGCCAGGGGAGCAAACCGGAUUAGAUACCCGCGUAGU